rnacentral:rRNA from 1 species
UUGAUUCAUUUGAGGUGACUGAGUGGCGAACGGGUGAGUAACGCGUGAGGAACCUGCCUCAAAGAGGGGGAUAACAGUUGGAAACGACUGCUAAUACCGCAUAAGCCCACGGCUCGGCAUCGAGCAGAGGGAAAAGGAGUGAUCCGCUUUGAGAUGGCCUCGCGUCCGAUUAGCUGGUUGGUGAGGUAACGGCCCACCAAGGCGACGAUCGGUAGCCGGACUGAGAGGUUGAUCGGCCACAUUGGGACUGAGACACGGCCCAGACUCC